ensembl:lncRNA novel transcript
GGGCCUCAGCCCCUGACGCUGUGGUGACUCCGCCGCGCCUCGCCGUCGCCCCUGUCCCCGUCCUGCCCGCCGCCUCCGCCGCUGGGGACAUGUCCAACCCCGGAAGCCGGAGGAACGGGCCCGUCAAGCUGCACCUGACAGAUCAGAGGUUGGAUUUAUGCAAACCUGGGCCAAAGGACAGUUAGAAGACGUGCUGAUGGGCCCGUGCAACAGUUGCUGGUAAAUGGCUGAUUAAAAAGCACAGAAAGCCGAACAAGACCCAACCAAAUUUGUGGUCAGAAUCGUUGCCAGACUUGUCCGGGGGAGGCUGGCUGGAGAAUGAAGGGAAUGAAUGAAGUGUCAGCCUCUCCUCUCAGGCUGGAGCGCAGUGGCACGAUUCCAACUCAUGGCAACCUCCACCUCCUGGGUCAAGUGAUUCUCCUGCUUCAGCCUCCUGAGUAGCUGGGAUUACGGGCACCUGCCACCACACCCAGCUAAUUUCUGUAUUUUUACAAAAAUUUGGACUCUGCUUAGAUUGGCUUAGUUUUCUCUUUAGUCAAAUCUUCAGGAACCAAUUUAUUACCAUUAAAAAUGAUCUAACAAGCUUUAUUUUUAUUAUUGUUAAAAAUCCUCAUUUUGAGGAACACAACCACAAAGUAAAGAAUGUUUUCAUUGAUUUAACCAGUAAAAA